rnacentral:snoRNA from 1 species
CUCGAGGGGUUGAUGAGUUUAGUCCUUUCCUCGUUGAAGUCCUACAGCGGCCCCCUUCGGGGGGUCGCGGCUGAGGACCACCCCAAGGCUCUGACCCUCGAG